GAAGGGAUAGCUCAGUGGUAGAUCAUUCGACUGCAGAUCAAGUGGUCCCGGUUCAAACCCGGAGUCUUCUUCU
rnacentral:tRNA from 1 species